GUCAAACAUCCAUAUAAGAAUAAACUGCAUACGUGUAUAACAUUACAAAUACAUACACCAGAAGUAAGUAGAAAUAAAGUGCAAAAACAUUUAAUAGUGUUUCAAGUAUAUUGACCCAGGGCUGGAGACCAAAAUUCCCCAAUGUUUCGGCUAGUGCCUUUCUGAAGGGGAUCUAAAAGACCUAUGUUCACAAAUCUUAUUUAUACCUAAACUGAAUCUGUGUACCUUCCCACCUAAAAACAUAAAUGUUCCUUAAUGGGGCAUCAUAAUACACUUCAGCUGCAUACAAAGGUGAAGCUGCUCUAUUCCGAAUUUCCAGUGUAUUAUGUCAUCGCUUCCUCACAGGCCGUAUUUAUAAGUCCCAGGAGCGGCCCAAACCCUGCCCUCUUCUCCCCCCUGACUCCCCUAAUUGCCCACAUACAACACUACCAAGUCUACACUUGGCCCCAACUACAGAUUCCAGGAGCAGCCAAAAUACCACUCGAAUUGGAUGUCCAUCACAUGACGUAAGCGUGCACACAUGCGCUACGUCUGAUGUCAUCGCGCAAUCCCGGGUCAUAGUUAUCGAUCGCUGAAGAUGCCAAAAUAGUACUAACAGCAUGUAAAAUGCAGUAACAGCUGAAAUAUGUGAAAAGAUAUGGUCUAAAAAUAGUAUAAGAACCAGAAGGAAAACAAAGUAUCUUAUCAUCAUACCAAAAACAAAAAGGUUAUGUAUAAGUCUAUUGUGCUUAUUCAAAUGGUCCCAUAAUGGAUAACCCACAAUUUAUAGCAGGUAACUUGGUAUAUCAAAGCUUUGCAUGCUCUACAGUGUUCAGAAAGUCACACAAUUUAACAAGAUUUUCUUUUGACAAUGCUCCUUUUACCUCAAGUUUCAAAACUUCUGAUAUUUUUUUUUUGCUCAGAUUAGGGGUGUGUGGAGUGUGAUGCAGAAAAUGUCCUUAGUUGAUUGAGAUGUUGCAGCCUUCCGGUUACCUACAAUUGCAAGCACUUUCCACCCUGGCUCAACACAGACACUUACAGUACUCACUCUGCUGCUCUCCUUAACUGAGUUGUGAGUCUAAUAAAACUGGUGGUAGACUGUCGUCACUGGGAGCCGACCCUUCCAAUCACUGGGAGGAUCAAGCCAUACAGGAAUCAAGGCGACUGGAAGAUAAUUUUGGACUAUAUUUUAUUAUUUCUUUGUCUACCUUUUUUAUUUGGCGUUACCUGCUUCAGUAUGUUGUUUCUGUUUUGUGGGGCAUAGAGGGUUCCCGUACUCAGUGUUUGCUGCCUAAGGUGAUCUACUUUUGAACUUUUAGCAUUUAUAAGCCCUGUGUAUAUUUCCUGUUUUUCUUUUGUAUACCCUUAAGAUAUAGCUGCUUGUUCUCAUGCCUCAUUACCAUGUCUACCUUUGAAUAUAGAAAUAAUUACACUAACUAAAGGCUAGCCCUGUAUAAAAGGUACUGAUAGGGAAAGUCAAUAUGACCUAUUACACCACGAGACCUGAGAAUCGUUAAAAUAUCUCCGAUCAGGAUGACGAGGAAUUUAUGGCAAUUUUGAAUAACAAAUUGGAAACGUGUAUAUUCGGGUAAAUGGACACACUAAUAAUCAAGAAAAUAAAAAAAUUGUCAAUUACCUGAUAAAGAUGUUAACCAACUAAGGGAUAAACUAUUCCCAUUUUCUGACGCAAGAAAACAAGCAAAACUCCGUACUUAUUCAAAGUAAAAGAUCGAAAUUGACACCAAAAAUUUGAAAAUAAAAAGUAUGUAAGGGACACACAAGACUAUGCAAAUAAUCAAAUUAGAACAUGCCACAAACACAAUUCAAUAUCAGAUGAGAUGUAUUUUUAAUAUGGAUACUGUGCUACCUCACUGUUUAAAUGACGAUUUUAAAAUUUAUUAUUUUAUAUAAUUUAUGUAUUCUAACUUCCAUU